rnacentral:rRNA from 1 species
GACGAACGCUGGCGGCGUGCCUAACACAUGCAAGUCGAGCGAUGAAGCUCCUUCGGGAGCGGAUUAGCGGCGGACGGGUGAGUAACACGUGGGUAACCUGCCUUGUAGUGGGGGAUAGCCUUUCGAAAGGAAGAUUAAUACCGCAUAAGAUUGUAGCUUCGCAUGGAGCAGCAAUUAAAGGAGCAAUUCGCUACAAGAUGGACCCGCGGCGCAUUAGCUAGUUGGUGAGGUAAUGGCUCACCAAGGCGACGAUGCGUAGCCGACCUGAGAGGGUGAUCGGCCACAUUGGGACUGAGACACGGCCCAGACUCCUACGGGAGGCAG